UAGGCAUGUUACUUUUUUAUCAACAAGAGUGGACUACAAAAUGUGCCAGAGGGUUCAAAGAAGUGGGAUUUUCACAUGACAUGUUUGUAGAAUGGGCUACCGAUGUAAGAAAUCUUGUGUUUUUUACUGAAAGGGGCCAGGUACAUUCUAAGUUAUCUCAUAACUUUUAUCUUUUGUGUUUAGACUCAAGUACCUCACUUAGUGUUAUCUUGCAUAAUAAACAUAUUCUCAUUACUUACAAUUGUAUUUUUAGUUUGGUACUCGUGCAAAAAUGCUUCAAUUAGACCCACCUUCUAAUGCCAUUAUAGUUAACCGAUCUAAAAGGGUUCCACUGGUUCAGGAGGAGUUAGCUACAUACGAAGAAGGACAAGAAACGAUUAAAAAGGAAGUGGCUUUAAAAUCCACUCUUGUGAAAGAAUAGGAGUCGAAAGCUAUGGUUGAUGCUGAUGUUAGCAAAACUGACCCAAUGCUAAUUGAUGACCAUACAAAAGUGGAUGAGGAACUGCUAAUGGAAUUGACUUGAUGAGGAAACAUGACCUAAUUGAUGUUGUUGAAGCAAGUGUGAUGUCGUGUUCACUUAUAAUAGGGAGCUGUUGUUGCUAUUGUUGACAUUCUUCACAUAACUCAUGCUACGGUACCUACGAUAAGUAAACUGUUUUCUCAUUUUUAGAUGGUUAUCUAAUAUCUCUCUAUAAAUCUAUAUAGUACUAUAAUUAUUUAUAGUUAUUGAUAAUAGGAUUAUAGAAAUCAUUUUUUAUUUGGAUAUAGUUUUAGACCUUUGGUAGGUUAUCUCACUGAGGAUUAUGGGUGUAUGAGAAGUAUUGGGGUGUCAAGAGGUGUUUGGAAGAUCAUGAUGAGCCCAAGGGUUUACUAUGGUUGUGAAGUCAUUUGUGUAUAAUAAUAAAAAUGGAGAAAUAAUUGAGUCAACGACCCACAUGGUCAAUGAAUAGGUGUUGUAGCAGGUGCACAACUUAUUGUUGGCUUGGAGUUAACAUCAAUCAAUAGUGUGGAAAGUCAUCUAUAGUCAAAGUAACAAGUUGCAGUCAACUGAUAGUCAAGACCCUAGAGGAGAUGAAGCUCCAUAAAGUGAUGGCAACCGGUGGAUAUGAAGUAUCUGUCUUUUUUUUUAAUUGCAGCAGUAGAUCAUCAAGAAGCUGGUGUUUUCUCAGUAUUUGGAUCAUUUUUAUAUGGGUCGGUAUCUAAGUAAAAUCCCGCAAGUCGAAGCUAGAAAACAGCCAACAUAUUUCAAAGAUCAGGCCAUGCUGCAAUAUUUCAUAGUCAAAUUUCAAACAUCUUCUUAUGGAUGGUCAAAAUGUCGCCUACAAAAGUCAAACCUGGUUAGAGUAUGCAGAAAUAGUCAAAGACCCAAUAAGUAUCUUGGGUCAGGCCUUUUAUUGGGCCGGGUAGGACGGAUAAUAAGAUAACACUGGUUUAGGCAGGAAGGUUGUUAUGGGCCUUUAUUUGUUUCUAAUGGACAUAAAAUGUUUUAAGAU